GGUUCUAUGGUGUAGUGGUUAGCACUCCAGACUUUGAAUCUGGCGACCUGGGUUCGAAUCCCGGUAGGACUU
rnacentral:tRNA from 1 species